GAGCUAUGAGGAAGAUAUCAACAAAGUCUGAGAGAUUACUGAUGACUGUAAGAUCCAACUCUGAGCUCGCUGUCUUA
rfam:Pelodiscus sinensis unplaced genomic scaffold scaffold129, whole genome shotgun sequence.